UACAGAGGUGCCAAGCGUUAGGCGGAAUCACUGGGCUUAAAGCGUGUGUAGGCGGAUCGUUAAGUGCCUUGUGAAAUCCCACGGCUUAACCGUGGAACUGCUCGGCAUACUGGCGGUCUUGAGCCAGCUAGGGGCUACCGGAACAAAUGGUGGAGCGGUGAAAUGCGUAGAUAUCAUUUGGAACGCCAAUGGUGAAAACAGGUAGCUGGGGCUGUGCUGACGCUGAGACACGAAAGCCAGGGGAGCGAACGGG
rnacentral:rRNA from 1 species